GGGAACUGCAAUUAUUUGAUACUCGUUACUUAAUCCAACGACGUCGUACGAGUCGCCCCAAAUUCCCACAUUGAACAACGAAUCGACUAUCCUAGUCCGGUUUCCAGCUUCCGAUUCUGAUUCUGCAGCUCUGGCAUCAAGCCCUGAAGUCGGCUCAUCCAUAAAUAUGAUUGAAGGGUUGGCUACAAGUUCAACUGCAAUAGUAAGCCUUUUUCGCUGCUCGGUUGAGAGGCCACUGACUCCUGGCAACCCGACUAGUGCUUCUCUUAAGGGGGUGAGUUCUACAAGGUCCAUAACCUCAUCAACGAAUAGCUGUGAGCAGAAAAGGAGCUAAAAUAUCAGAAUCAAAUCGAGAUAUGAAAAACAAGGCAGGUUAUUGAAUGACAUCUUAUUCAAUUAACCUUUUUAGUUUUCUCAUCAACUUCUUGGGGCAACCUCAACCAAGCUGAGUAAGUGAGGGACUCGUAAACCGUCACAUUUGGAGAAUGGAUGUCGUUUUGCUCACAGUAUCCCGAUAUCCUAGCAAACGUCGCCUGGUUCUUCGGGUAUCCGGAUAUUGUGAUAUGUCCCUCAAUAUAACCCCCAGUUUUUCUUCCGGCUAACACGUCCAUUAACGUAGUUUUACCAGCCCCACUAACACCCAUCAAGGCUGUAAGAACACCUGGCCUGAAAGCACCACUGACACCCUUUAAAAGCUCCAGUUUGUCUUCCGUGGCUCCUUGAACUCUCAUUUCCUGCAAAUUGAAUAGGCAUUUUGUUACUCAUUGACUCGACUCUUUUAGUGACAAAUAAGUCUACCGCCCUUCCUUUUAAAUCUUGAACCUACCGCCGGCAUGUCCACUGAGUAUCUGAUGUCGUCAAAUGUGAGAGAAUGUGGUUCAAAUGGAAGAAUCAUUCCCCUUUUCCGGUUCUCAGUGAGUUCGAUGGCAUCUGAUCUCACAGAUGAAGAUCCAGAUGAGAUGCUUCUCCGCAUGCCCUCACUGCCUUGAGCUGAAUUUCUGCUGAUAGAGCCGCGCACAUGGGAAUCAUCUUCAACUAUUUCGGGACAAAACCACCCAAGGCGAAAAGCAGGAGCAGUGCAAAUAGACCAAAUGUGUUUGCGACAAUCAUGUUCCUACCGGCUGAACCAAUAAACCUGAACAAUCCUGAUGCCGCCUGAUGCAUAAACAGAAGCAGAAGGUACUGCUUCAGUAACCUGCAAAUGGGACUCUUUUUCAGUUACUACAUUUGAAGAAGGGACCGAGAAUAUUAUCUGAGGUGUAUUUUGUAACUGUUACCUUGUUAUGUUUGGGUCGAAUCCAAUCACGUAGUAGGUGACAAAUACCCAUAAAGCAACUUCAAGGAAGGUGACAGGGAUUUUCAGGAUCCAUGAGGGUAUAGCAUAUGCCCAAGGGGGGAAGAAGUACAUAUCCCUUUGUUUGUAGAAUACAGGUAGCUUGUAAAUCGUCAUGGCAAGCUCAGACAUACCGUUGAACAUGACAAGAAUGACAGCGAAAAACAGAGCACCGGUAUAUAUCCCCCCGUCUCCUAUGUCAUCUUUACCCAUCUCUGUUCUCAGGAAGAGUGUAAUCGCAAUCAAUGACAUCACAGAAAUCUGAAACCAGAUAUAGAUAUUUUUCGUUAGCAAAUUUUUUUCAACUAAAUAUAAUAGACAAGCACAUGGUUUCACGUUUAUAAGCUUGCCUGGAAGAUCUUGAAGUAGAAGACAAAUGAGUUUCUCUUCAUCAGCAAGUAUUCUCUGUCGGCACAGGCUUUUAGAAGUUCUUUUUUCCCAAUACCGUACUUCUCUGUUGUCAAAGCUGCAGGGUGGCUUUUGGUCUUAUCAAAUGGGAUUGAGAGCUCAUCUCCAAUCCUCCGUCCAACAACGUAUGAUUGGAAGGCCUCUGCAAAUUCACUAACUGAGACAUAUCGAAAUCAGCCACUCCUUUCCGUACUGGGCAUGCAAAACCCAUGGACUCAAAGAAGUCUAACACAUUUUCUCGAGGACCCUGAUAGACGAUCUGACCAUCGGACAAGAGAACAAUGUCAUCAAACAGAUCAUAGGUCUCGGGUGCUGGCUGCAGCAGGGAGAUAAAUGCAGUUCCUUUCAUAAUGUGGACAUAUUGUCGAAGCAUAUUCACUAUUUGGAAAGUCGUCGAACUAUCCAAACCAGUGGAUAUCUCGUCCAUGAAAAGUGCCUUUGCUGGUCCAACCAGCAUUUCUCCUGUGAUUUUUCACACCAGAAAUCAGUGUCAAGAAAUACCCCUUAUCAUCUCGUCUCCGACUAAAGUGUCGGCACAGAUUUCAAGCCCCAGAACCUGGAAAAAGAACAGGAGAAUCUUGAGAACACUGAGCUAUUGGAAUUGUUAGAAUGCUCAUUAAAUUUCGAGUUUAAUAUCUGCUCCAGGUCAUGCUGGCUUAUGUAUGCUGCAGUUCUUUGAGGUACAAAUUCAUGCAUUUCAUGCCCAUUGUAAGUAAUUCUCCCCGAAACCUGCCCAAAUAUUUCGUUUUCGUACUUCAGAAACACGUUCGAUUCUCUAUCAAUCAUGUCCACACACACACAAAAAAAAGGACUGUUUACUUUGAGGGUUGGAUCAAGCUUUCCGGCCAAAGCAAGCAAAAGUGUAGUUUUCCCAGAACUUGGAGGACCUAACAGCAGAGUCAUUCUGCAUGGUUUGAUAAUUCCACUAACAUCCUUAAGAAUUGUAAAAGGCUUCUUUCUACUUGGAAGUAUGUGUAGUGCGUUCAAGAAUCCCUGCACACACAAAAAAAUGAUUUUUUUUCUAUGUAUAUGUAUAUGUAUGUUCAGUUUCUUGUUUUUGCUUUUACCUCAACCAGAUUUAUGUGGAAGUUGACAAAAGUAGGCAGAGCCCUGCUUGCACUAAAGGCUUCCGCAUCGAUAUUCAGAUGCUCAUACCUCACUUCUAUGGUUGGAAUAUCGAUCCCAACUCUGCAGAUGCAAGAAUUCAUGCAUAUUAGAAAUCAAAGAACUCAAUCAAAAUCAUUCAAAACACACACACACACACCUAUCAAUCCUGUUUCUGAGCUUUAACAAGAACUUCUCAUUAUCUUCUUCCACAGUUUGGACCAGCCUCUCGACGAGCUGCUUCUUGUCUUGGAUUCCCAGAUCAUGCACCUCAACCUCGUUGGCGCCUCUUGAUCCGAGCAGCAAGCCUCUCCUCAGGCGAUCGAACGUGGGCAGUUUCUCGAGCGCAGCCCACUUCAAGGCCUCCUCAUCAUCUUCUUCACGCGAUGAUCGUGUGAACACUUCCAACCCUGUGUUCCUCCAUAUGUUCGAGCUGUUCACUCUGAAGCUUUCACCUCGUUUGCUGCUUGAUCUCAAGCUACCACUCGCUUUGUACAGAUCGCCCGCAUCCAUUCUUGCACCACUCUCUCUCUCUCUCUUCUUUGUUUAGCAGCAGGAGUACUAGAAAAGGGAGUGCUGUGGAAUUCAAGAACUGGGAAGAAAGAGUGCAGUUUCGUUGUUGUGGAAAAAAUGGUGGUGUUUUGUUUGAAGAGGGAGAAAGAUUGUUUUAUACAUAGUUUGUCAAGAUAACAAUUUGAGCCUGCAGUCAAGGAGGGGUUGGAUAUUCAAAAUUUGAGGGAUUUUUUAAUGUUGGAAAUUCUGUUUUUAUUGGAAAUAUUUAACGAUGUUUCUUACUUCUUGGAAAGUGUGGAAUGGCAUUUGUUUUAGUCUUGAUGAUA